CAUAGAUGAUGAAGAGAAACUAGCCUGUAUUUCCGAGAUGUAUACUCCGUUACUUGAACCGAUAGUUCCUGAUAUG
rnacentral:snoRNA from 1 species